UAGUUGCUAUCGAUUGAGGCACUGGUUAAUACAAAAGGAAGUUGGGGUUGAGUGAGCUUGUCACCUAGUCCACAGAGAAGUUUUGACAUAACCCACAUGAACUUGCUAUACCAGGAAGCCCUGUUUCCUAUUCUGGGGCAGCAGCAGCAGCACAUAAACCAACAGUUCCAGCCUCCCACGGUCAGGCUCGCCUCACCUUGCAGAGCCUUGAAGUUGAGGAAGAAGGUAUUUUCCUUCUAGUGGAAGAAUUCAAACAUGCUUCUCUCCAGCCUUCUGAAGGUGGUCGUGGCUUCACUGUGGCUCGGUCCCAGUAUGGCCCAAAGUGUAACUCAAGAUCAACUACCAGUCAAAAUGCCAGAAAAGGACACUGUGACCUUGAACUGUACAUAUGAUACCAGUAGUUUCAGUUAUAGUCUCUUCUGGUACAAGCAGCCCAGCAGUGGGGCAAUGAUUCUCCUUAUUCGUCAGGACACUUAUAGCCAAGAAAAUGCCACAGAAGGUCGCUACUCACUGAAUUUCCAGAAGGCAAACAAAUCCAUCCAACUUGUCAUCUCAGAUGCACAGGUGGAGGACUCUGCAGACUACUUCUGUGCACUGAGUGAGCCCACAGCGAGAGGUGUGUUGGAGGGAGGUGUACCAAAACCCACAGUUCUCCUUGAUACAUCCACCUGCUGUUGGGUCCAGGGCUGAGAGUUGCCAUCACAGACAGGAAGUGGUUAGGGCUGUGGCAGCACAGGUGUAGUGUUUGAGGGAAAAUACUCAUUCUAAGAAAAUACUUCUCUAGGUUCAUGGACUACAUCUGGAGCUAUGCUUCAUCAAAAAAUCCUUAUCCCUGAAAAUUUGGGUUUAAUUUUUUCCCCCACACCUGCAGCAUAUGAA